rnacentral:rRNA from 1 species
GACGAACGCUGGCGGCGUGCUUAACACAUGCAAGUCGAACGGAAAGGCCCCUUUGGGGGUACUCGAGUGGCGAACGGGUGAGUAACACGUGAGUAACCUGCCCUUGACUUCGGGAUAACUUCCGGAAACUGGGGCUAAUACCGGAUAGGAAUCCUUGCUGCAUGGUGGGGGUUGGAAAGCUUGUGCGGUUUUGGAUGGACUGGCGGCUUAUCUUCUUGUUGGUGGGGUAGUGGGUUACCAAGGCUUUGACGGGUAGCCGGACUGAGGGGGGGACCGGCCACAUUGGGAAUGAGAUAAGGCACAGACGCGUACGGGAGGAAGAAGGGGGGAAUAGUGAACAAGGGGCGGAAGCCGGAUGAAGAAAGGCCGCGUGCGGGAUGACGGCCUUCGGGUUGUAAACAGCAUUCAGCAGGGGAGAAGCAUGUGGUGACGGUACCUGAAGAAGAAGCACCGGCUAACUACGUG